GACGAACGCUGGCGGCGUGCUUAACACAUGCAAGUCGAACGAAGCUUGAUUACGGAUUCUUCGGAUGAAGUAUGAUAUGACUGAGUGGCGGACGGGUGAGUAACGCGUGAGUAACCUGCCCUUCAGAGGGGGAUAGGGUUCGGAAACGAACGGUAAUACCGCAUAAUGUAUUUUGACCGCAUGAUCGAAAUACCAAAGAUUUAUCGCUGAAGGAUGGACUCGCGUCUGGUUUGGUAGUGGGUGGGGUAAAGGCCUACCAAGCCGACGAUCAGUAGCCGGAGGGAGAGGUUGAUCGGCCACAUUGGGACUGAGACACGGCCCAGACUCCUACGGGAGGCAGCAGUGGGGAAUAUUGCACAAUGGGCGCAAGCCUGAUGCAGCAACGCCGCGUGAAGGAAGACGGUUUUCGGAUUGUAAACUUCUGUUCUUAGGGAAGAAUAAUGACGGUAGCUAAGGAGCAAGCCACGGCUAACUACGUG
rnacentral:rRNA from 1 species